rnacentral:rRNA from 1 species
AGUGAACGCUGGCGGCAGGCCUAACACAUGCAAGUCGAGCGGCAGCGCGGGGGCAACCCUGGCGGCGAGCGGCGAACGGGUGAGUAACAUAUCGGAACGUACCCAGUCGUGGGGGAUAACUAUCCGAAAGGAUAGCUAAUACCGCAUACGUCCUGAGGGAGAAAGCGGGGGAUCGCAAGACCUCGCGCGAUUGGAGCGGCCGAUAUCGGAUUAGCUAGUUGGUGGGGUAAAGGCUCACCAAGGCGACGAUCCGUAGCGGGUCUGAGAGGACGACCCGCCACACUGGAACUGAGACACGGUCCAGACUCCUACGGGAGGCAGCAGUGGGGAAUUUUGGACAAUGGGGGCAACCCUGAUCCAGCCAUUCCGCGUGAGUGAAGAAGGCC